AUGGAGUCAGAGGCCCAGGUUUUCCUAUUCCUGCUGCUCUGGGUGUCUGGUGCUGAAGGGAACAUUGUGAUGACCCAGUCUCCUGAAUUCAUGUCCACGUCUGUAGGAGACAGGAUCACCUUAAGUUGCAAGUCUAGUCAGAAUGUAGAUAAGUAUGUAGCUUGGUUUCAAAAGAAAUCAGGGCAGUCUCCUAAACUGCUAAUCUACGAUACAUCCACUCGGCACACUGGGGUCCCUGAUCGGUUCACAGGCAGUAGAUCUGGGACGGAUUUUACUUUCACCAUCAGCAGUGUGCAGGAUGAUGACCUGGCAGUUUAUUAUUGUCAGCAGCAUAGCAGCUCUCCUCCCACAGAGAAGAUAAGGAUUCUGGCAAUCUGUCCAAAGUUUGGCUAUGAGUCUCAGUAUGUCAUUUGA